rnacentral:rRNA from 1 species
AACGAACGCUGGCGGCAUGCCUAACACAUGCAAGUCGAACGAGACCAUCGGGAGUAGUUGCGCACGGGUGUGUAGCGCGUGGGAACCUUCCCUUAGGUAUGGAAUACCUCCCCGACAGGGGUGCUAACGCCGGAAAAUGUCUUCUAACCAAAGAUUUAUCGCGCUUGGUUGGGCACGCGUUGGAUUAGCUUUUUGGGAGGGUAAAAGCCUACCAAGGCGACGAUCCAUAGCUGGGAUGAGAGGCUGAUCAGCCACACUUGGAGUGAGACACGGCCCAGACUCCUACGGGAGGCGCGAGUGGGGGAUAUUGGACAACGGGCGAAGUCAUGAUCGAGCUCUGCUGCGAGAGCGAUGUAGUCGUUAGGGUUGUAAAGCUCUUUUACCCGGGAUGAUAAUGACGGUACCGGAAGAAUAAGCUCCGGCUAACUCCGUG